UUUAUAUGAGAGUUUGAUCCUGGCUCAGGAUGAACGCCGGCGGUGUGCCUAAUACAUGCAAGUCGAACGCGUUGGCCCAAUUGAUUGAUGGUGCUUGCACCUGAUUGAUUUUGGUCGCCAACGAGUGGCGGACGGGUGAGUAACACGUAGGUAACCUGCCCAGAAGCGGGGGACAACAUUUGGAAACAGAUGCUAAUACCGCAUAACAGCGUUGUUCGCAUGAACAACGCUUAAAAGAUGGCUUCUCGCUAUCACUUCUGGAUGGACCUGCGGUGCAUUAGCUUGUUGGUGGGGUAACGGCCUACCAAGGCGAUGAUGCAUAGCCGAGUUGAGAGACUGAUCGGCCACAAUGGGACUGAGACACGGCCCAUACUCCUACGGGAGGCAGCAGUAGGGAAUCUUCCACAAUGGGCGCAAGCCUGAUGGAGCAACACCGCGUGAGUGAAGAAGGGUUUCGGCUCGUAAAGCUCUGUUGUUAAAGAAGAACACGUAUGAGAGUAACUGUUCAUACGUUGACGGUAUUUAACCAGAAAGUCACGGCUAACUACGUGCCAGCAGCCGCGGUAAUACGUAGGUGGCAAGCGUUAUCCGGAUUUAUUGGGCGUAAAGAGAGUGCAGGCGGUUUUCUAAGUCUGAUGUGAAAGCCUUCGGCUUAACCGGAGAAGUGCAUCGGAAACUGGAUAACUUGAGUGCAGAAGAGGGUAGUGGAACUCCAUGUGUAGCGGUGGAAUGCGUAGAUAUAUGGAAGAACACCAGUGGCGAAGGCGGCUACCUGGUCUGCAACUGACGCUGAGACUCGAAAGCAUGGGUAGCGAACAGGAUUAGAUACCCUGGUAGUCCAUGCCGUAAACGAUGAGUGCUAGGUGUUGGAGGGUUUCCGCCCUUCAGUGCCGGAGCUAACGCAUUAAGCACUCCGCCUGGGGAGUACGACCGCAAGGUUGAAACUCAAAGGAAUUGACGGGGGCCCGCACAAGCGGUGGAGCAUGUGGUUUAAUUCGAAGCUACGCGAAGAACCUUACCAGGUCUUGACAUCUUGCGCCAACCCUAGAGAUAGGGCGUUUCCUUCGGGAACGCAAUGACAGGUGGUGCAUGGUCGUCGUCAGCUCGUGUCGUGAGAUGUUGGGUUAAGUCCCGCAACGAGCGCAACCCUUGUUACUAGUUGCCAGCAUUAAGUUGGGCACUCUAGUGAGACUGCCGGUGACAAACCGGAGGAAGGUGGGGACGACGUCAGAUCAUCAUGCCCCUUAUGACCUGGGCUACACACGUGCUACAAUGGACGGUACAACGAGUCGCGAACUCGCGAGGGCAAGCAAAUCUCUUAAAACCGUUCUCAGUUCGGACUGCAGGCUGCAACUCGCCUGCACGAAGUCGGAAUCGCUAGUAAUCGCGGAUCAGCAUGCCGCGGUGAAUACGUUCCCGGGCCUUGUACACACCGCCCGUCACACCAUGAGAGUUUGUAACACCCAAAGUCGGUGGGGUAACCUUUUAGGAGCCAACCGCCUAAGGUGGGACAGAUGAUUAGGGUGAAGUCGUAACAAGGUAGCCGUAGGAGAACCUGCGGCUGGAUCACCUCCUUUCUA
rnacentral:rRNA from 1 species